GACGAACGCUGGCGGCGUGCCUAAUACAUGCAAGUCGAGCGCAGGAAGCUGACGGAACUCUUCGGAGGGAAGGCAGUGGAAUGAGCGGCGGACGGGUGAGUAACACGUAAGGAACCUGCCUCAAGGAUUGGGAUAACUCCGAGAAAUCGGAGCUAAUACCGGAUAGUUCAACGGACCGCAUGGUCCGCUGAUGAAAGGCGCUCCGGCGUCACCUUGAGAUGGCCUUGCGGUGCAUUAGCUAGUUGGUGGGGUAACGGCCCACCAAGGCGACGAUGCAUAGCCGACCUGAGAGGGUGAUCGGCCACACUGGGACUGAGACACGGCCCAGACUCCUACGGGAGGCAGCAGUAGGGAAUCUUCCACAACGGACGAAAGUCUGAUGGAGCAACGCCGCGUGAGUGAUGAAGGUUUUCGGAUCGUAAAACUCUGUUGUAAGGGAAGAACACGUACGAGAGGGAAUGCUCGUACCUUGACGGUACCUUACGAGAAAGCCACGGCUAACUACGUGCCAGCCGCCGCCGUAAAAC
rnacentral:rRNA from 1 species